AAAAUAAUCCUACCCUUUGUGAAUUUUGCUUGUUUGAAUAAUUUUUUUUUUAAAAAAUUAUUGGAGUCUUUCCCUUUAGAGUUUGCUUUUGAGUUUGUAAAAGAAUUCGAAAACAUCUAAAGGGGAUGGUCAAUAAUUUUUUUGAAAAAAGACAUUUUUUAAAAUUAAACUUUUUGUAUUCAUUUGUCUAAAAAUUAUUUUUAUAAUAUAAAAACAACUUUUGACAAUGGAUCUCUUGGUUCUCGCAACGAUGAAGAACGCAGCAAAAUGCGAUAAGUAGUGUGAAUUGCAGAAUACGUGAAUCAUCGAAUCUUUGAACGCAUAUUGCACUUUUUUAGUUUACUAAAAAAGUAUGUCUGUUUGAGUAUCAGUAAAAUAUUCUCAUAAAAAUCAUUGUGUAUUUUUAUGGUUAUGAGUGUUUUACAACGAUACAAGUUGUUUCACUUUAAAUUCUUUUUUUAAUAUUGAAAUUUUUCUAAUUUUAAUAAUUAAAAUUGGAUAAAAUUUUCCCGUCAAAAGGAAUAACCUAAACAAUUUUAAAUGAUUAUUUUAGCAAAAUUUUCGUAAAAAAGGAAAAUUUUUAUUAAAAUAACUUGAUCUCAAAUCAGAUAAGAGUACCCGCUGAACUUAAGCAUAUCAAUAAGCGGAGGAAAAGAAACUAACAAGGAUUCCCUUAGUAACGGCGAGUGAAGCGGGAAGAGCUCAAAUUUGAAAUCUUCAAGGUUUUACCUUGACGAAUUGUAGUUUAAAGAAGUGUUUUCUGCUGAAGUUUUGGUAAAAGUUCUUUGGAAUAGGACAUCAUAGAGGGUGAGAAUCCCGUAUUUGACCAUUAUUUUCAGCUUUGUGAUACACUUUCAAAGGGUCGGAUUGUUUGGGAAUGCAGUCCAAAAUGGGUGGUAAAUUUCAUCUAAAGCUAAAUAUUGGCGAGAGACCGAUAGCGAACAAGUCCGUGAGGGAAAGAUGAAAAGAACUUUGAAAAGAGAGUUAAACAGUACGUGAAAUUGUCAAAAGGGAAGCGUUUGACACCAGUGUUGUUUUCUCGAAAAUCAAUUAAAAAUGGCUCGAUUUGUAUUGCUGAGACCUUAAAAGCUCACUGUACAUUUUUCGUGUCUUUUUUAAUGCACUUUUCGUUUAACAAGUCAACAUCAGUUUCUUUUGUUGUAAAAGGGUCAUCGGAAGGUGGCUUUCUUUUCGGAGAAAGUGUUUAUAGCCUUUGGCCUCUGCAAUCGAGAGACUGAGGUCUGCAGCGUAGACUCUUCGGGUUAGAUACAUUUGUGCUAAGUUAUAGCUUUUUAUAGACAACUUGUUGACUAUAAUUAGUCUUGUAGCUUACUCGCUUAUGCUAUUUUACCUACGCUUAGGAUG
rnacentral:misc_RNA from 1 species